rnacentral:misc_RNA from 1 species
GAUGAAGAACGUAGCGAAAUGCGAUAAGUAAUGUGAAUUGCAGAAUUCAGUGAAUCAUCGAAUCUUUGAACGCACCUUGCACCCUUUGGCAUUCCGAAGGGUAUGCUCGUUUGAGUGUCAUUGUACUCUCACACUCUCCGAUCCUAUGGAUUCGGGGAGCGGUGGACUUGGGUGUUGCUGCCUUUCCUUGUGGCUCACCUCAAAUGUGUCAGUGCACCUCUUGGUUGGACAUAGUACGGCGUGAUAAGUGUCUUCGCCGGCACCUCGCAAGAGGGUGGCCGAUCGGGACCUCUGUGCUUUCAAACCGUCUUCGGACAAUUUCUGACAACUUGACCUCAAAUCGAGUAGGACUACCCGCUGAACUUAAGCAUAUCAAUAAGCGGAGGA